UUAUCGCUGGUAAUCUUGGUAAAAUCAGUGUUUAUAUCAUUUGUGUAAAUAUUGAUGGUUGUUAACAUUUUCUGAAACAAUUGCUGAUAUGAAAGACUAUUAAAAGUCCUGUUUCAAAAAUUGAGAUAAAGAUUUUGGAAAACAUAGAUACAUGUACAUCAUCGCUUAGCACUUUGAGAAAGAGAUAAUAAUAGAAUCAUAUUUACCCCAAACUAAUUCAUGGGUGAUUGAUGAAAACAUCAACCAUUGUUUCAUUUCAUAAAGCAACACUGGGUGAGCACUAAAUAGACGGAACCAAAUGAUGUGAGGUUCAUGAUGGGUUCAUCGUUUCCAUUCAGUUUACACACCAUACGAAGAGGAAAAAGAAGUUAUUAAAAAAGUACAAGCGAUGCCGUCAGUUGGAUAUAAAGAAACGAGAGCUAGUACGUAUUACCACACCACCACAAUUUAACCCGAUUAGGCAAACAUCAAGAGUCCUGCAAAGACCGAAUCAAUCGGUACAUGUCUCGCUGAAAAACUUUAUAGUUGAAUGUUGUCUCCAUUUCUUGUGAUAUGAGUUUCAAGUUUUGAUCUUUUUUAAAAUCGUCAUCAAUCAUUUCAUCAUUUCAUCUUUUUGUUUGUUUGUUUGUUUUUUUAAUUUUUAAACAAUAUCGAACUUUAAUUACUGGAGUUCAGCCGACUGGAGAUGUAAAAGUCUUUAUCGUUUUUUGUUGACAAUCAUACUCGAAAAAAAAGAAAUCAAAUCAGAAUUGAACACGAAGUAUGACCCGAAUUGCUCUAGUACACGUGAUGUCGUCAUGGCAAGAAAUUUUGGUGAUGUGGGUCUACUAAUCCAAUAAUAGCGACUUCCUUACUUAUUAAGAGACUUGGUGGUAGUUUAAUUUGCAAAGUUUUGAAUAAAUAAAAAAAAAAUCGUCACAGUUUACAAAUUCGGUAAUUUGUUUUCCGUGGAAGAAAAGCAUUCCGGAUGAGAAUAGGAUCCAAUUGAAUAGAAGAUUGAAGAAAAUGGAACCGGCGAUUGAGAAAGACUACAAGAUGAAAAGCCAGAGACAAUGAUUAUAGCCCAAAGGAAGCUAAGAUACACUAAGUUAUACGAAAAGCACGAUAGCUUAUUCAUAAACAAUCCAAUUUCGAAAAUUGUGUUGUGCCAGUUACAAAUUACAGCAAUCGGUGAUAAAAAUCAAAGCUGACUUUGUUAUUGGCCGUAUCUUUUCGAAACUUUGAUUCUACUGCUUAUGGAACCGUUCUUUAAUUUGAUUGUGUUUGGGAGAAGAAACUGUAUGAUAGUAGUGUGUGCAGACACGCAAGAUGAAUGAAAUACUUCGAAAGGAAUGUUUAUGUAAAUACUUGUGGAGACUCAGUUUAACUCCAGCAUUUUUUCAACUAUCCCAAUAAUCCCAUUAUUUCUAUUUCUGCCUCACGUUUCUAUUAGCAUAGUAUGGUUGGAAUUUUGAGUUACUUCUUUGUAGCAUUCUUUAAGGAUUCAUUUUUACAAACCACCUAAUCAUUGUGUACAAGUUAUACUUAGGUAAUCAUAUGCAUGCUCCGUUGCUUAUCUCGUUACCAAAAAUCUGUAAACUAACACUUUUACAAUAGUCAAUUAAGAUAUUCGGGUUUUUUAGAUGCAGCUUCUGUAUAGUUUUCUUACUCAAAGCGCAUUAUUUUUCUACGGAUAGAUUUUAAGGAGCAAAAACAGUAUCAUCAGCUUUUAUCAGUCAUGUCGAAUGUGAGGAUUCUUCAUGCUACGUUAAAGAAACGAGUCGAAAAGGAAGUGCGGUUGACAACGACUAUUUAAAUGCUAAGGAAAUAAAAAUGUAGUAAGUUUUUAAAGUUACCGAUGGAAACGUAGUAUUACGUAUAUGGAAUCUUGCAUCAUUAUGGAACCGUCAAGUUACGGAAUGUAAAUUUCCUACGCUUGAUUUGAGGAAGGAAAAUCGUAAAAUCUAGACAUUGAAUAUGUUUUUUCAAAAUGGAUAGCCUUCAUGGUAUUUGUAUAAUAUUAUUUAAUUACAGCCUAAUUUGAUUUAAAAAUCACUUCUGCGACUCAUACUUUUUCGAUGGUUAAAGCUUGAUUUAGGAAUAUGGGUUUACCGCAGAACUCUAGCUCUUCCAAUCAACCGUUAUUACCUCGAAAGGUAUAACAACUCAACAAGACCUUAUAUUGUCUCCAAUUCUAUAUGUUACGUUAUGCUGUUAUAAACAGAAGAAACGGUGUAUCUGCUGUUGAAUAAGU